ensembl:lncRNA
UUUUUUUUUUUUUUUUUUUUUUUUUUGAGAAAGUAGCAGCAGUGAGAAAAAAGUACAUAGUAAUUUAACUUCAGGCGUGUGACCUUUCUUUUUCUAAGACAUAUCAGGGAAAGUAUUUCCAGGGAUGGUAUAUGUAUAGCUUCAAGUGAAUGUCUUGGUAUGUAUUAAAGGAUAUAAACUUGUACAGAGCAGAAGAAAUUCUGUUCAGCUCAGUCAGCCAAAAUACAACAGACUGAACAGGAAAGCACUAAUAUUUUUUAGAUGCGUAAUGUUCUUACAAAUGGCCCAUGCUGUGCUAAUAAAACUAUUGUGACUAGGAGCUUUUGCAGUGAGAACUGACAGAUGAAGCAGAGUUAAGUACUUUUUCAGACAAGCUACUACAGUAAAUCAUUAAAGCGCACAAACAAUCAUCCUUCAUCAGCCUGGGAUUUGUUUUAUAGCAAUUGCAAAUCGAAAACAAUGUAAACAAACAAAUCGACAACUAAUGAACAUUCCCCCACUGCUCACUGUAAAUAGAUCUACAACUUUAGAAGAACACUUUAUCCAACACAUUGUCAACUCAUUGUAAACACAUCUACAACUCAUAAACAACUCAUUACCCAGUAUGUUGUCACCUCAUUGCAAUUAAAGUUGAAUGCUAACUGUACUGCAGUUCCUCAAACUGAAUCAAAUCAGAAGCAUGGAAGAAAAUAUCUAGAUGUAUUAGUCCAAUAAGUUUCAGGACUUUUACGAAAAUCUUCACUGUGUAAUUGGAGUUUCUUUUGCAGUUCUUAAUGCAAAAAUUGAACAAAAUUGCAUCACUUCCUAUUCCAGCUUAAAUGUAGAUUUAUUCAAUCAGACUUCCAAUUUACAUAUAACAUUUUCUAUGGAAAUUUUUUAAAUGAGAAAAUUAUUCCCUGAAAGGUUGUAAAACUCACAAGUUUCUUUGGAAUUGUUCUGCAUGAACUAUAUUUUACAGUCUUAUUUAUUUAUUUAUUUAUUCAUUCAUUAUUUACUGGCUUACUUUCGACACCACUAGAAAUUUCUACCUUCUUUUUAAAGCAUGAUAGGUAUCAGCUGGAUGUGAUUGCUAAUACCACUUCAAUACCACUUAAAAUAUUUUUGCUAUUGAAAAAUCAUUUAUUUUGAAGAAAACAUAACUAAGAAGUUUUAUGUGUGGUGAACAUAAAUCGGAAGAUGAAGACAUCUGGGUUUAAGAGCAAACUUCACAUACAUUAGACUGCUGGCUGGGGCACAGCUUAUGAGAACUGGAAGUAUCUUAAAUUGCUUCCACAAACUCUUCUUCUGGUCCCCAUGUACACAAUCUGCUGCUGCUUUACAAAGAUGUCCUCUGGGAAAAGGGUUGUCUUUUUUAUCCAUAUUUACAUAGUGCUUAGUAUAAAACAAUCUAAUGCCUUACAAGGUCACAGUGCUAUAGAUAUUAAAGAACACAUGUAGUAGACACAUGCAUUUAGUAAUGAAUCACUACAUAAUUACAAUCAUAUUUUAAGAAUAAUUCAGUUUCUCAUACAAAAGAUUUCUACCAAGCUUCUCAAUUUGUUUUAGAAUUACUGCUUUUUGGUUACAUGAUAGACUUUGAUGCUAAGAUUGAAAAGACUGGCUUACAGAGAUGUUGCACUCAGGAUCACAAACAUGAUCUUCUCCAUCAUUCCACAAAUAGGAGAUUUUAAAUGUCAUUUUGCAGAACGGAUAUUAUCACUAUCUUCUAUGUUACACUGCUCUAGAGCUCUCUUAUAUGUAUUGGUCUCACAUGUCACGUUGGUGUCCAGGUAUCUUGAAGUACAUACAUUGUUCAAUGCGUGUAGUGGGCCAGAGACAAAUCAAACUGGCUUAAGAAGAAAAGACACUUCACAUACAGAAUAUGGUAUUUCUCUCUGUCCUUUCUUCAGCACCUAUGUAGACAGUGGCUUCAGCCAGUUUUGGAGAUAUCCACAACCCCUGUCUUUUUGCAGAAGGGAAAACAUCAGCAGUUGCAAUGGGCACCAAUAACAUCUGCUUAUAGCAACACAGGCAUUUGUCUCACAGUUUUUAAUGUUGAGAUUUUCUGCUUGAAAUGUUACUUUUAUUUGACAAUAUGCUUUCCAAAUGAUCUCUUCAAAGGUCCUCGCUUUUGGGGAAAGAGGUAAAAGCAUUUUAUAUGUUUAAGUUUUGAUUACCUUUCUCCUCCAUUGGCCUUAGCAAGUAAAUGCCAUGGUGAUGUGAUAGAGCUAUGGUGAGAGAAAAUUAUACAGCUAUGCUGAGAGAAAGGAAUCAGUAUUUAAUCAUUAUAUUUCUAAGAGCUCUCGCUGAUUAGAAAGCAGUCCUACAAUUAGGAAAGUUUGAAAGGACUCAAAGUUUGAGUGUUUCACUUCCUAAGUGAGAUAGGAAGUAAAAUUCUAGGAAGUUAAUGAUAAUUUUGAAUGGUCAAUGAAUUAUUUAUUACCUAUAUUUAUUACAAAUAUGAACUUACUUUUCAACAAAGUGAGUCCAUUGUGGAAUUUUUCGGUUAGACAAUGAGAACUGUAAAGACCUUUUUCAUACCUUUUUGAUUUUUUCUCCGCUCAUAUGUGAACUAUGCAAAUGUAAACAUGUAACUUUUUCUCCCUAAUCAGGCCUCAUGAGUAGUCCUUAUGAACUCGGAAAGUUAUUUCUUAAAUAUAAAUACUUAAACUGAUUAAAUGUGCAACUGAAAAACAAAGAGGAAAAUGCCAAAGAGUCCAAUAACUAUUUGCAUUUGAAUUUGCUAAGAUGCUGUGUCUCAUGUUGGUGUAUCAUUAAGCUAAAUCCAAUGGUUAUGAGACAGAAACCUGUCUUUUAGGACAUAAUCUCUUUUAAAAUGGAAAAAAUGGAAAGUUUAUUUUGCAAUUCCCUAUUUCUUAAAUAUAUAUAUAUCAUAAAACAUUGAAACAGUAUCUAAGAGUGUAAUGUUGUCUCCAAGACAUAUGCCCAAGAACAGGUCAUAUUUCUGUUUAAAAGUUUUAAUUUAACUCACUGAUCAGUUAUGGUGUAGAUGAGGGAAUUCCCCAACUGUUUUUUAUAGAACAUAAGACUAGAUUUUUUACAGUGGUUAAUUCUGACCCUGAUUGAUAUUAGGUCAUAUUGUGCCUAGAAAACAGCAAGAAACUUAGAGUCAAAUAAAUGAAAGAGCCUGGGAAAAAAAAAAUUAAAAAAAAGAAAGAGUUGUUUAACUAUAUUGAACCAAGAAAAUACUUCAUAAAUGAAGAGUUUUCUUUUAAGAGUCAUAAUUUAAUCAGUAUAACUUUUCAUUUAUUCUUAUGUUUGCUUAUGUGUCAUAUAUUAUGUGCAGAUAUUCUGUGCUACUGAAAAUUAUUCCCACCAAAAUGUUGUAAUGUACCUUUUGUUCUACAUCUUAAAAUAGACUAACAGAGGAGAGGAAAGAAACCAGAAUUAUAAUGCGCCUUUGUAAAUGUAAAAAGCUUAAUAAAUCACAGAAGUGAAUUUCUUAUUCUUCUCAGAGAGGAAUUAAAUUUUCACAUAACUGUUUUUUUAUGACUCUAUUUUCUUUUCUCUUUAGGGCUGAGCAACCCACUGGAAGGAAACCAGUAACUUAUUUUAAAAUUGUACAAGUCUCCAAAUACAUUUUUGAUUUUACUUUGUGACUUCUAGAUCCUGAAAAAAAAAACCUUGUUCUUUUUUUGGUUUUUUUUUAAGACUGAUUAUGGGCAUUUUUUGGAAAAAUUGAGAAACAUA